rnacentral:rRNA from 1 species
UUGACCUCAGAUCAGGUAGGACUACCCGCUGAACUUAAGCAUAUCAAUAAGCGGAGGAAAUCGACCGCCCCCA